GCAAGUCGAGCGGGCCCUUCGGGGUCAGCGGCGGACGGGUGAGUAACGCGUGGGAACGUGCCUUCUGGUUCGGAAUAACCCUGGGAAACUAGGGCUAAUACCGGAUACGCCCUUUUGGGGAAAGGUUUACUGCCGGAAGAUCGGCCCGCGUCUGAUUAGCUAGUUGGUGGGGUAACGGCCUACCAAGGCGACGAUCAGUAGCUGGUCUGAGAGGAUGAUCAGCCACACUGGGACUGAGACACGGCCCAG
rnacentral:rRNA from 1 species